UACGAAGGGGGCUAGCGUUGCUCGGAAUUACUGGGCGUAAAGGGAGCGUAGGCGGACAGCUAAGUCAGAGGUGAAAGCCCAGGGCUCAACCCUGGAAUUGCCUUUGAUACUGGCUGUCUUGAGUAUGGGAGAGGUGUGUGGAACUCCGAGUGUAGAGGUGAAAUUCGUAGAUAUUCGGAAGAACACCAGUGGCGAAGGCGACACACUGGCCCAUUACUGACGCUGAGGCACGAAAGCGUGGGGAGCAAACAGG
rnacentral:rRNA from 1 species